UGUGUAACAAAAAUAGUGGAGACCCAUUCAAGGGCAUACAAGGUGUAACAAAAAUAGUGGGGAUCCGUUUAAGGGAAUACAAUGUGUAACAAAAAUUGUGGGGAGCCGUUUAAGGGUAUACACGAUGUAACAAAAAUAGUGGGAAGCCGUUUCAGGGCAUAUAAUGUGUAACAAAAAUAGUGGAGACCCAUUCAAGGGCAUACAAGGUGUAACAAAAAUAGUGGGGAUCCAUUUAAGGGAAUACAAUGUGUAACAAAAAUUGUGGGGAGCCGUUUAAGGGUAUACACGAUGUAACAAAAAUAGUGGGAAGCCGUUUCAGGGCAUACAAUGUGUAACAAAAAUAGUGGAGACCCAUUCAAGGGCAUACAAGGUGUAACAAAAAUAGUGGGGAUCCAUUUAAGGGAAUACAAUGUGUAACAAAAAUAGUGGAGAGCUGUUUAAGGGAAUACAAUGUGUAACAAAAAUAGUGGGGAGCUGUUUAAGGGAAUACAAGGUGUAAUAAAAAUAGUGGGGAACCGUUUAAGGGAAUACAAGGUGUAACAAAAAUAGUAAGGAGCUGUUUAAGGGAGUACAAGGUGUAACAAAAAUAUUGGGGAGCCGUUUAAGGGCAUAUUUGGUAUCAUGUUCUAUUUUAGUAUUAUUUGUGACAAAAAGAAACUUUACAGUAAGCAUAUUUUAAAUAACCGCUAAGUUAGGACCGUUAUGAGUAGGUACCAAUUUCAUUUUUUAUUUAAAAAUAAGUAAGCUUUUAUUUU